rnacentral:rRNA from 1 species
GACGAACGCUGGCGGCGUGCUUAACACAUGCAAGUCGAACGGAAAGGCCCUGCUUGCGGGGUACUCGAGUGGCGAACGGGUGAGUAACACGUGUGUGCUCUGCCCUGCACUUCGGGAUAUGCCUGGGAAACUGGGUCUAAUACCGGAUAGGAGCCAUCUUUAGUGUGGGGGUUGGAAAGUUUUUUCGGUGUAGGAUGAGCUCGCGGCCUAUCAGCUUGUUGGUGGGGUAAUGGCCUACCAAGGCGGCGACGGGUAGCCGGCCUGAGAGGGUGGACGGCCACAUUGGGACUGAGAUACGGCCCAGACUCCUACGGGAGGCAGGAGUGGGGAAUAUUGCACAAUGGGCGGAAGCCUGAUGCAGCGACGCCGCGGGGGGGAUGACGGCCUUUGGGUUGUAAACCCCUUUCGCCAGGGGCGAAGCUUUUUGUGACGGUACCUGGAGAAGAAGCACCGGCUAACUACGUG